rnacentral:hammerhead_ribozyme from 1 species
AUCCAGCUGAUGAAUCCCAAAUAGAAUGAAACGUGUGUCGUCGAU